rnacentral:lncRNA from 1 species
GUUUGCUGAGAUCCAGAAGGCUAAUUUGUCAUUCUUUAGACACAGAAAACACAUCUCCACAUCACUAUAUAUUCAAAAUUUGGGUUAAUGAAUUUAUAAAGUAUCCUGAUAUGAAUUAUUAUUUUGGAACCAUAAUAACAUUUUCCAAGUUUCAAAAAUUUUGCAUCCAAUUUCUGAUUCCCAAGCUGAACUUUAUGAUUGUAUAGCAUUAAAGUCUGUCAGACAAAAUAAAAAAACAAGAGGCUCUCAAGAGCCUGAAUCGCUCACCUGGUAAGCAAUGCCUUAUUGAACAUAUUGAACCAUGCAGGCAAACAU